rnacentral:rRNA from 1 species
GUGAAAUUGUUGAAAGGGAAGCGCUUGCAACCAGACCUGCCUGCAGUUGCUCAUCCGGGCUUUUGCCCGGUGCACUCUUCUGCUGUCAGGCCAGCAUCGGUUCGGGCGGUCGGAUAAAGGCUUCGGGAAUGUAGCUCCUCUCGAGGAGUGUUAUAGCCCGUUGCGAAAUGCGGCCAGCCUGAACUGAGGUCCGCGCUUCGGCUAGGAUGCUGGCGUAAUGGUUGUAAGCGGCCCGUCUUGAAACACGGACCAAGGAGUCUAACAUCUGUGCGAGUGUUUGGGUGUCAAACCCGUACGCGUAAUGAAAGUGAACGGAGGCGGGAACCCCUCGGGGUGCACCGUCGACCGAUCCUGAUGUCUUCGGAUGGAUUUGAGUAAGAGCAUAGCUGUUGGGACCCGAAAGAUGGUGAACUAUGCCUGAAUAGGGUGAAGCCAGAGGAAACUCUGGUGGAGGCUCGCAGCGGUUCUGACGUGCAAAUCGAUCGUCAAAUUUGGGCAUAGGGGCGAAAGACUAAUCGAACUAUCUAGUAGCUGGUUCCUGCCGAAGUUUCCCUCAGGAUAGCAGUAACGUUUUCAGUUUUAUGAGGUAAAGCGAAUGAUUAGAGGCCUGGGGGUUGAAACAACCUUCACCUAUUCUCAAACUUUAAAUAUGUAAGAAGUCCUUGUUGCUUAGUUGAACGUGGACAUUUGAAUGUAUCGUUACUAGUGGGCCAUUUUUGGUAAGCAGAACUGGCGAUGCGGGAUGAACCAAACGCGGA